CACGGAGUUAGCCGAUGCUUAUUCGCAGAGUACCGUCAUCAAAGUACACGUACUCCCUAUUCUUCCCCUGCAAAAGCAGUUUACAACCCAUAAGGCCGUCUUCCUGCACGCGGCAUGGCUGGAUCAGUCUUCCGACCAUUGUCCAAUAUUCCUCACUGCUGCCUCCCGUAGGAGUCUGGUCCGUAUCUCAGUACCAGUGUGGGGGAUAUCCCUCUCAGAACCCCUAUCUAUCGUCGCCUUGGGGAGCCGUUACCUCUCCACUAGCUAAUAGAACGCAUACUCAUCUUUCACCGCCUCAGCUUUAAUAUAAAUGUGAUGCCACAACUAUAUACCAUUAGGUAUUAAUCCUAAAUUUCUUCGGUCUAUCCCUAUGUAGAAAGCAGAUUGUAUACGCGUUACGCACCCGUACGCCGGUACGAACGCCCGAAAGCCUCCUCCCUCGACUUGCAUGUGUUAGCCUGCCCGCUAGUCCGUUACAUCCCUAGGACGCCCGAAGGAUACGAAACCUCUUCG
rnacentral:rRNA from 1 species